AACAUGACUCUCGGCAACGGAUAUCUCGGCUCUCGCAUCGAUGAAGAACGUAGCAAAAUGCGAUACCUGGUGUGAAUUGCAGAAUCCCGUGAACCAUCGAGUUUUUGAACGCAAGUUGCGCCCGAGGCCUUUUGGUUGAGGGCACGUCUGCCUGGGCGUCACGCCA
rnacentral:rRNA from 1 species